rnacentral:SRP_RNA from 1 species
GCCAGCUGCGGUGGCACGUGCCUGUAGUCCCAGCUACUCGGGAGGCUGAGGUGGGAGGAUCGCUUGAGCCCAGGAGUUCUGGGCUGUAUGUGCUACGCCGAUCUGGUGUCUGCACUAAGUUCGACAUCAAUAUGGUGAUCUCCCAGGAGCGGGGGACCACCAGGUUGCCUAAGGAGGGGUGAACCGGCCCAGGUCAGAAACAGAGCAGGUCAAAGCUCCCGUGCUGAUCACUAGUGCGAUCGCACCUGUGAAUAGCCACUGCACUCCAGCCUGGGCAACAUAGUGAGACCCCAUCUCU